rnacentral:ribozyme from 1 species
UGCCCAGCAACUCCUAUCCCUACCUCCUCGCGGUACUGACCGGGGUACGAGUAACCUUAGGGAAGAUCGGGUAAUCAACCCCGGUGGGAACUCUGGUCAUAUGCUGACAGGGAAGA